rnacentral:piRNA from 1 species
CAGAUGUCUCCUGCUUGUGUUGUUGA